GAUGAACGCUGGCGGCGUGCUUAACACAUGCAAGUCGAACGAUGAUCCGGUGCUUGCGCCGGGGAUUAGUGGCGAACGGGUGAGUAACACGUGAGUAACCUGCCCUUGACUCUGGGAUAAGCCUGGGAAACUGGGUCUAAUACCGGAUAUGACUCCUCAUCGCAUGGUGGGGGGUGGAAAGCUUUUGUGGUUUUGGAUGGACUCGCGGCCUAUCAGCUUGUUGGUGAGGUAAUGGCUCACCAAGGCGACGACGGGUAGCCGGCCUGAGAGGGUGACCGGCCACACUGGGACUGAGACACGGCCCAGACUCCUACGGGAGGCAGCAGUGGGGAAUAUUGCACAAUGGGCGGAAGCCUGAUGCAGCGACGCCGCGUGAGGGAUGACGGCCUUCGGGUUGUAAACCUCUUUCAGUAGGGAAGAAGCGAAAGUGACGGUACCUGCAGAAGAAGCGCCGGCUAACUACGUGCCAGCAGCCGCGGUAAUACGUAGGGCGCAAGCGUUAUCCGGAAUUAUUGGGCGUAAAGAGCUCGUAGGCGGUUUGUCGCGUCUGCCGUGAAAGUCCGGGGCUCAACUC
rnacentral:rRNA from 1 species